UGAUUCACAAGUGUAUGGCUCUGUACAAUUCGGCCUCGCGUUAUUUUUUCCAGAAUUGGGUGUGGGUAGUCUCUAAACUGAAUUGAGUAAGCUAAACAUGUGCAUCUAAACUGAUUGAACUUGAAGAUUGCCUUUGGGGAGUAGUUUUAGUUGCUAGAUGUUUCAGGCUCCAAACAGGCAUACAUUAUGUGCUUAAUGUGUUGGCAUAAACAUAAUCAGUUUUAUGUUUAGAAAUCAAGUCACUGUCCACCCAUUUUAUUUUUUCAUGAAUAUUUUGUGUUGAAAUCAAAUUACCGUUCGCUUGUUCUGAAUUGUUGUCUUUUUUUGUUGAUUCUUGAUAAAAUGCUUAGUUUGAGGAUGUGGCCAUUGGCUCGCGGGGACGAAAGCAGAAACCGAUAUGGCGAUGGUGCCAAGGAGGACUCUCAGGCGUCCGCUGGUUGCAUCGCUGCUGCCAUACCCAUGGAGUGGCGCGGCUCCGACCAAUCUAAGAUGGUAUUCCUAUCUCUUUCUUUCUUGAGGAAUCGGUACUACAAUAGAACCUGAAGCCGAUGAGGAUGGACGACAUUUAGUUUUGGUGGAGACAUCAGGUACAACACAUGUCAAUGAUAAUUCUGCCCCACAACCAAACAAAAAAAAUAUGAUGAUGAUGCUCAUUGGUGCUAGGCCUCCAGAAGUGGGUUUAAUUUUUGUGGCAGCAUGGCUCUGCUUGGUUCAGUUUUUCUUGGUCUACUUCGAAACGGCGGGGGCGGCUGGAGCUUGCAGAACGGCGGCGGCAAAGGCUAGAGCUUCCAGAUCGGCAACCCAACCUGAGCAACAGCUCCAAGGAGGAUGCCACCAAGUGCUUGGUCUCGCUGGGAGAUGAGAGAUGUCGAGAAGUUGGGAGGCGGUGUUGCUGGCAGUGCCACGUCGCACCUCCGUGUCACCGGCAUGGCUACUGCAGGUAAUAUCACAAACAUUGUGUGAUAACAUCAAUAUGAAUCUCUCAAGGUAGGAAGAAAGAGAGGAACAUGAUGAAAGUUGUAUUGCCGGUUUUAGCAGGCGUGCUGGUCCUCACAUGCUUACCCAUUGUUGGAUAUUGCUUGAAUAAAAAAACAACCAGUGUAA